rnacentral:rRNA from 1 species
GAUGAACGCUGGCGGCGUGCCUAAUACAUGCAAGUCGAGCGGACAGACGCCGUCCUUUCCCGUCGGGCGGUAGCCGCGGACGGGAUAGAAACACGUGUAUAACCUCCCUGUAGGACUGGGGUCACUUGGUGAAACCGUAGCUCAUACCAGAUACUAUAUUGAGCCGCAGGGUUCAAUAGUUUACGACGGCUUUGCUGCCACUUGUAGAUGGAUCCGUGGCGCAUUAGCUAGUUGGUAAGGUAACGGCUUACCAAGGCGACGAUGCGUAGCAGACCUGAGAGGAUGAUCGGCCACACUGGAACUGAGACACGGCCCAGACUCCUACGGGAGGCAGCAGUGGGGAAUCUUCGACAAUGGGCGAAAGCCUGACGCAGCAAUGCCGCGUGCGGGAUGAAGGUCUUCGGGUCGUAAACUUCUGUUAUUAGGAAAGAACAGCUGUGUUAGAAACCAGGCGCGUCAUGACGGUACCGAAAGAGUAAGCAACGGCUAACUACGUG